UGAGCAAUCUGCCUCUGUGAGGGGGAUAACGUCUGGAAACGGACGCUAAUACCGCAUAACAUAUAGUGGCCGCAUGGUCGGUAUAUCAAAGAUUUAUCGCACAGAGAUGAGCUCGCGGCUGAUUAGCUAGUUGGCGGGGUAACGGCCCACCAAGGCGACGAUCAGUAGCCGGACUGAGAGGUUGAACGGCCACAUUGGGACUGAGACACGGCCCAGACUCCUACGGAAGGCAGCAG
rnacentral:rRNA from 1 species